AACAAGUCAGACCAAACAUUUUAUUCUACCAUCGACUAAUAGACCAAUCUUGGAAUUGCGUCCAAGUAUUUGAAACACAGUUUGGAGUUUGUCUAUUGAUAGUUUUCUUAUACCUCUGUAUGUAUAAAUAAUACGUGUAUAUUUUUAUAUAUGUUGUACAUGUACAUGUAUGUAUAAUGUUUCUAGUUAGGUUAUAUCUAGCUCCACGUUUAUGUAUGCACGAUAAUAAUCAAGCAACGCUUUGGAGUAAAUGCUAGUAAUUUGGUAUCCAGGCUAGUUCAUUCCUUUUCCAGCUGAAAAUAAAUGAAUAUUCCUUCCGAUAGGUAUCCCACACGCAUAGAUACCAGUCGAUGUUGUAUAGGUUACGCGUCUCGACUAUGCUCGCGUUCCACCGCAUCUAUUUAAGGUUCGCCCGGCUGGCUAUACAUAGAAUCCUCGGUCAGCUCGGUUCCGCGUCCAAACUCCUCUCGUAUCCCUCUGUCUAUCUUUCCAAUGAUGUAUGUGAAUAUACCUAUGGGUGGAGACAGUGGAUGACUGUAAUGUAUAGGUGUUCAUGAUUGGAAAUCUGCGUAUAUGUAUGUACGAUUUGAUGGAUAGAAAGAGGGUUGAUGACUGUCGGAAGCGAAAGGGCGCGAUUCUAACCUCCAAGUUUAAACUCGCUGAAAGGGAUGGAUGAAUAGACACGACGCGAUUAAGUGGGUAUCGAGUCAUUGUAUCGCGAUAAUAGCAGCACUGGUAUCGAUGAUCGGUCUGUGGAAAGUCGUGAUAACGCUCAACCAAUCAGGACAAAGAUAACAAGGGAUUCUGUGUCGAGGAUUCUUCAAGAUAACCGAGAGUAACCUGUGCUGGAUGAUUUUUAGAUGGACUGUCGAGCGUAUCCACCUUUAUAGAAAAGCAGACAUAGAAGAAAAUAAAAAGUUUAACAAAUCUAAUUUAAAUUGCGUAUGAAUAUAUUCGUAUUGUUGCUGCAAGUAUAGUUGAUUGAAAAAAUCUGGAGCUAGAUAUUUUUGAAAAUUUAGUUUUGGAAUACAGGACGCCUUUUUAUUUAAACUACAAGCAUCUCAAAAUUUAUGAGGUAUGUAAGAAACUAUCAGCAAUAUCAGCAAUCAGCAAUAUUCAAUUUAAUAUAAACAAUUUAAAAAAUUAUAUAUAGAGUGUCACAGGGUUUAACAAACAAACUUUUUCAAUA
rnacentral:lncRNA from 1 species